CCUACGGGAGACAGCAGUGAGGAAUAUUGGUCAAUGGGAGGAAUCCUGAACCAGCCAUGCCGCGUGCAGGACGACGGCUCUACGAGUUGUAAACUGCUUUUGUCGGGGAGCAAAAGCCGGACGUGUCCGGCUGUGAGAGUACCCGAAGAAAAAGCAUCGGCUAACUCCGUGCCAGCAGCCGCGGUAAUACGGAGGAUGCGAGCGUUAUCCGGAUUUAUUGGGUUUAAAGGGUGCGCAGGCGGAUUUUUAAGUCAGCGGUCAAAUCGUGGGGCUCAACCCCAUCCAGCCGUUGAAACUGGGGAUCUAGAGUGUGUGAGAGGUAUGCGGAAUGCGUGGUGUAGCGGUGAAAUGCAUAGAUAUCACGCAGAACCCCGAUUGCGAAGGCAGCAUACCGGUGCACAACUGACGCUCAGGCACGAAAGCGUGGGUAUCGAACAGGAUUAGAUACCCCAGUAGUC
rnacentral:rRNA from 1 species